rnacentral:rRNA from 1 species
AACGCUGGCGGCAGGCCUAACACAUGCAAGUCGAGCGGAUGACGGGAGCUUGCUCCUUGAUUCAGCGGCGGACGGGUGAGUAAUGCCUAGGAAUCUGCCUGGUAGUGGGGGACAACGUUUCGAAAGGAACGCUAAUACCGCAUACGUCCUACGGGAGAAAGCAGGGGACCUUCGGGCCUUGCGCUAUCAGAUGAGCCUAGGUCGGAUUAGCUAGUUGGUGGGGUAAUGGCUCACCAAGGCGACGAUCCGUAACUGGUCUGAGAGGAUGAUCAGUCACACUGGAACUGAGACACGGUCCAGACUCCUACGGGAGGCAGCAGUGGGGAAUAUUGGACAAUGGGCGAAAGCCUGAUCCAGCCAUGCCGCGUGUGUGAAGAAGGUCUUCGGAUUGUAAAGCACUUUAAGUUGGGAGGAAGGGCAGUAAGUUAAUACCUUGCUGUUUUGACGUUACCGACAGAAUAAGCACCGGCUAACUCUGUGCCAGCAGCCGCGGUAAUACAGAGGGUGCAAGCGUUAAUCGGAAUUACUGGGCGUAAAGCGCGCGUAGGUGGUUUGUUAAGUUGGAUGUGAAAGCCCCGGGCUCAACCUGGGAACUGCAUCCAAAACUGGCAAGCUAGAGUACGGUAGAGGGUGGUGGAAUUUCCUGUGUAGCGGUGAAAUGCGUAGAUAUAGGAAGGAACACCAGUGGCGAAGGCGACCACCUGGACUGAUACUGACACUGAGGUGCGA